CUUUAAACCAUGCUUGCAUGUCAAUGUGGGGCUGAAAUGGUUGAAUAUUUUUGGAUUAUUUACAGCGCCACCCGCUAAAGAAUGCCAGUAUUAUAGGAACACCCCCUCUCUUUCACCAAAUUAGACUCAGACCCCCUACCGUCAGUCAUUGUUACAGAAUAUACCAAAAAUACUGACAUCAGCAGUCCAUUUCUUUCUAAAUACCAUUUUGCCCUAUUAAAUAUGAAGUACCUAAAAUACCUUUAUAAUAAGUUACUAUUUAUUUCAUCCAAAUCGAUUUGCUUCCCAUUCCAAUUCCAAGACCUAAUUUACCUAUCCACCGACGGUCGUUCAACGCAGCGGCGGUGGCAUCGACGACGCAGGACCUCACGACGAACACCUAUCCUCCGGAAACCACUCCUCUCCUGCGACUUGCAAGCCAUCCACCACCUCCAUCAGCACUACCUAAAAACCAAGAUGGACUUUUUCUUGUUCCACUCCUUGCCGGGAUUUGGAGAGUCUUGGUGGUUGUUGGAGCGUACGUCCCCAUUAUAGUUGCAGAGCUGGUAACAAAUUGAGGAAAGAGAAGGAUCAGAGUUGGAGCCUUCAGGUUUGGAGGAGGUCGAAGGUCGUUUAAAAUUGGUAUAAUACCCUAAAAUAAAACAAUUCAUGUCCACUUCCUUGUGAGGGGCAAGGCCGUUUAUCGUUUCUGUUGCUGGAGUGAAGUCACAAAAGCUUUCUCCCAUUUAAUAAGUGCAUUAGCCCAUUAUUUAUGACCUAAUUGUUGUUUGAUUCCUACAAGUAAGUUGGAUAAUUGCUUUUCUUCAUAUUUCCUACCGAUUCUUCUCUCUUUCUAUACUAUGCCAUUUCUGUUUAAUCCUUCUCAGCGUGGAGUGCAUCUUACCCCCUUUCGUUGAAGGAAACUUCAUUAACCCCUUUUCAAUGAAAAGAAAUUUCACAGUAUCAGAUUCUCACACACCUAACCCCAAAUCAAACAAAGAAUUUUAAGAAGCACCAGAGGAUAUGCACGGUAGGUUCGUGAUAUUAUCCACUCCAUAACCACCAAGAAAAUGGAGGGAAAGCCAAAGCCAUUCUCAAAAAGAGGGUUGUGUAAGAGAUGGAGCUUAUCGUGAGGGAGCUGUAGAUGGUGGGGAUAGGUGGAACUGGUGGGGUGAAGGAGUUGCCAACAGUGGCUCUCUGUCUGCGUCUCUCUCUCCCUCCCCCCGAGUUUCUCUGCGCUUGUGUCUUGGUGAAGGUGAGAAGGGUAAAAUGAGUUUCAGUGAAAAGGGUAUAACAGUCAUUUUAACUCUUGACUUAACAGUGACUGACGGUAGGGGGUCUGAGUCUAAUUUGAUGAAACAAAAUGGGUGUUCUUAUAAUUAUGGCAUUCUCCAGGGGGUGGCACUGUAAAUUACCCAAUAUUUUAAGGAAAGAGGAGAUAAAGGAUUCAUUCUUAUCUUGAACAAAGGAUAGUUUUCCUGUGUGUUGCUGAUUAAGAAUAUAAGAUCGUUUCUUAGUUAUCUAGGCUUAAACACAUCCAAUGCCCCUUUCAUUUGGAACAUGUUGCCUCGCUGUUAUCGUAUACCCACUCAUGAAUGAAAAUGUGCAUGUGUGCAUGUUUAUUUUUUCUGCUGCACUCCAUUCUGAUGUAACUCCAUGAGAUUGAUAGUGUUUGAUCGUGUGUGUGAAUUUGCAAGUAUUCACGUGCACAUUAAGUGUGUGCAUGUUGUUCUAUUGCAAAUGAAUCUGACAACUCAGCAAAGAUUGAUGGUGUUAUAGUUCGCUUAUUUGCCAUGUGAAUAGUCAUGGAUUGUCUAAUAAUACUUAUCCAUGGAUAUAGUGGUUUCUUGUCCAUUCAGGUCUUGCUCUUUGUUUCUGUGAUUAAAAUAUGCAGCUUUAUUUCUCCUUUGACUUUAUUUAUCUUGUCUACAGAUACUGAAGGUGGAAAUUUUCGUAAUGAUGUGUCUGAAUCAUUUGAGAAUAGGAAGGCGAUGUUAGCAGCUGUUCCAAGCUACGAGGAGCCAUACAUCAAAGUUCCCAGGGUUUUGAACAAGGAGUGAUGUUGUUUGGGUAACUAAUUCUCUGUAUUUGUCCCUUCUCAAGUAUGUUUCCCCCAAUCAAAAUAUUUUCUAUCUGAAUUUUUCUCCGUCUCAAUAAGAUAAUCUUCCCCUUGAUAAUCAUUAAUAGAUAUAUCUUGUUUGAUA